AUGCGGAAAAGCCUCCGGGGUUCCGGUGCCAAUCGCAGUGUUCCGGUGCCAUCCGCGGUGUUCCGGUGCCAUCUGCGGUGUUCCGGUGCCAUCUGCGGUGUUCCGGUGCCAUCCGUGGUGUUCCGGUGCCAUCCGCGGUGUUCCGGUGCCAUCUGCAGUGUUCCGGUGCCAUCCGCGGGGUUCCGGUGCCAUCCACGGGGUUCCGGUGCCAUCCGUGGUGUUCCGGUGCCAAUUGCGGGGUUCCGGUGCCAUCCGCAGGGCUCCGGUGCCAUCCGCAGGGCUCCGGUGCCAUCCGCGGGGUUCCGGUGCCAUCCGCGGGGCUCCGGUGCCAUCCGCGGUGUUCCGGUGCCAUCCGCGGUGUUCCGGUGCCAUCCGCGGGGCUCCGGUGCCAUCCGCAGGGCUCCGGUGCCAUCCGCGGUGUUCCGGUGCCAUCCGCGGGGUUCCGGUGCCAUCCGCAGGGUUCCGGUGCCAUCCGCGGUGUUCCGGUGCCAAUCGCGGGGUUCCGGUGCCAUCCGCAGGGCUCCGGUGCCAAUUGCGGGGUUCCGUCCCUGCAGUGACCCCGCUCAGAUCCCAUCGGAUCCCCCCGAUCCCGGUCCGCAGCCGAGCAGCGCUCGGGGCUCAAACCUCCCCCCGUUUUCCCCUGAGCCCCUUCCUUUGAGGGUUGAACCCCGCUCCGGAGGCCGCAGCUGCUCCCAGUCCUGGUUCCUCCCUUCCCAGCGGGAAUGCCGCGAGCGCAGCCCCUCGGAGGGCGGGAGGGAGGAGCCCUCCUUUGAUGGAACUGGGGAGAUGUUGGCUUGGGACGUGAACCCGCUGCUUCCCCCCUCGCUGGGACGUUCCCCGGAGCCUCCGGGCACUUCCCUCGGGGUUUGGGUGCCGGGAAGGCUGGGACAGGGAGAAUCCCACUGUGCCGAAGGGUUGGAACGCUGGGAUCUCAGCACGGAGGAGCAUUCCCGGCAGCCCGAACCACAACCCGGGGGCGGCUGCUGGGAGUUCCGUGGAAUUUACCCCUCACCCUUCCCAAGGUGCCCGAGCAUGGAUUCCCGGCACUGGGGAGUCCAAAUCCCAAUUUUCCACGUCCCCACCUUGGAUCGGGCCCGUCUCAUCCUUUGCUUUUCCAGCCUUGGGCCGUUUUUCCGGGAGGACCCGACUGCCUGGUCAGACGUGUUUGCUCCGGCGGCCGUGUCCGGCUGUUUGGGCUCCGCGUUCCAGAGUCGGAGGGUUCCUCCCUCCUGCCAGGACCUGUGGUGGAUGUGGGAGCACCCGGAGCAGCCUCUUCCCAGAUCUCCCCCAGAGAGGACGGGGCAGGGCCUGGACUCGGAGCCGGGCAGCUGCGGGGAAUUCCAGCUGGGAUUUUGGCUGUGCAAAUCCGUCAUCAGUGCGGGAUCCCGGCUCCCCUCGUCCCCGGACAAGCCGGGCCGGUGCAUCGCUGACCCUGUCCGAGAUUCCAGCCUCUCCUGGCUGUUAUCCCCUCUCGAAUCCCUGUUUUUCGCGGCGGGGAGGGAAGCAGAGAGCAGCGCUCUCCGCAGGGCUCCGGGGACAAUUCCCUGGAUGCGAGGGCGGAGGAGGCACAUCCAGGAGCCCCCGCGCCGUGUUUGCCGGCGAGGAGUGGCCUCGGUGCCGCGAUUCCCAACGCUCCCGAUGCUGCCCGGACGCGGCCGCGGCUGGGCCGGGGAUGGCGGCGCUGCCGAUCCCGUCCCGGCCGAUCCCGUCCCCAGCGGGAACGGCGGGAUGAGGCGGGGUGAGUCAAUGCCGGAGCUUUUCCUCACCUGCCGAGCUUCGGGAGCAGCCGGGAUGGGAGCGGGAGGGGAGGGAUCCCACGGGGACGGGGCUGUGCGGGAGCCGCGUGGUUCCUCCGGAGGAUUUGUUGCCUUGGGAUCACAAAAAGCCGGGAUAGUUCCGUUCAGGAGAGGGGCAGGCCGGGCUUCCCAUUGCCCCGAGGCUGCGGGAAGGAAAUUGGGUCGUUUUCAGGUUGUUUGGAUACUUUUUCCCCCGGCUCCUGCAGAUCCCUGGCAAAGCCCUCGGGCGAGAGCCGCCCGCAGCCGUGGGCUUCGUGCUGCUCCUCGCCUGCUCCCGGUGUCCCCGCACCCGAGCCCGCGCUCUUUGCGGGAUGUGAGGCCGGCACCGGGGACAUCCGACCCCUCCCUUCCUUCUCCCGGCUGCCGGCGCAGCUUUUGUUUUACUGAACUCAUCCCCCAAUUCCUCCACUCCCAGCCGAUCCCUUGGAGCGGCACCGGCUGCGGCCCGGGAGCCGGAGAGAUGGAUCCCCCUUCCACCGGGAUCCCCCAAAGCAGGGAAUGUUGUAACGCGUUGCUUUUAUCCCUUCCGGAGGAGCUCUGGGGUCGGGCAGGGAGCAGCAGGAAUGCGGCCGGGGCGGUUUUUCCAGUGUAAAUCCUUCAGCCGGUCUCGCUGCCCUCCCGGAAACCCAACCAGGAAACAUCCACGCGUUCCCGGGCUGGGAGCGAGCUCCCGGCUCCGUGUUCGUGCCACGUGUUGCGUCCCCGCCGCUGCUCUGGGAUCCCGGCGCCGGGAGCCGUAAUCCAGCGCGGAUUUAGGGAGCGGGCAGGUUCAGCCUCGGGACAGGCGGUGGCUGAAAUCCCCCUUGAGGGGAUCCCGGGCAUGAUCCCUGAUCCCGCUCUCCCAGGCUGGGCAUCGGAGGUGCCGGGCAUGGUUAAAACUGGGAAGUGCCAAUUUUUUUGUCCGCCAGGAGCAAACAAGGAGCAAACGAGCUGGAAAAGUGGCCGGGCGAGCUCGCUUGGCUCCGGCCCAGCCCUGCUCCCUUCCCGUGCCCGCUGAGCCGCUGGGCUAACGCCAGGAUCGCUCCGGCGUCCUUCCCGUGACCGUCACAUGCCCGGGAGGGUGACAGGGCAGUGCCGGCGAUCCCGGCUGCACCGGGCAGGAGCCGCCCCCUCCUCGUGGCACCGAGCGAGCGGCGAUGGCCUCGCCGGGAGCCCGUGGCCGGGGCUGAGCAGGACAAGCGGCCCCUCCGCUGACGGCCUUGCCGUGUUUUCUGUGGCUUUGCAGACAGCAGCCGGCUCCUGGGGGCCCCGCGCCCGGGCUACGGGACGCUGCAGC
ensembl:lncRNA